UUAUGACCAUAUCAUAUUGAAACACCGGUUCUCAUUCGAUCACCAAAGUUAAGCAACGUUGAGCCCGGUCAGUACAAAGGUGGGUGACCGCUUAGGAAUAUCGGGUA